UUUUGAGAUGAUAUUGGCCGUCCAUUGCAGUUAUUUUUCGGUGGUUAUCUUCUUAUUUUGUGGCCCACUCUCUCCAAACCAGUUCCGGCGGUUAUCUGAUGGUUUUUUUGCCAUCCCCACUCUCACGUGAUUCCAGGCCAUUGGUUUCUCCUCCCCAUAAAACUCCCUCUAUGUUUAAUCACAAUUCCAAGUCCAGAGAAACCCUCGAUUCCGUCAACCACCGACCGUGCCCUCUGCGUCUGUUUGAGCCUAGCCCCACCGCCAUAGCGCCACCGUCUGCCACCAAACCAGAGUCACUACUACCAGUGUUGCUCACCUUAAUUUGUUUGCUUUUGAUCAUCUGAAGGCUCUAAUCGUUUAUGGUUCAAGGGUUUUGAUUUAAAGAUGGUUAAUGUGAUGGAUCAUUUGAGUAACUCAUGAAUCAAAUGGGUUUAAGCAAUUCGAAAAGGUGAAUCUUCUGGUCUUGGAAUCGUAGGUUGAAAUCCAUUUGCCAAAAUCAGAUUUGAUUAUUUGAAGCAUAUCCAGUGUAAUUGAAAAUGAGUACUGAUAUAUAACAAAUUUCUGAUACAGAUUAAUGCACUUGCGUUAUUUCUGUUUAAUUAUAAUAUAAUUUGUUUUUAUUGAUUGUUUUGCUGGAGCAAAGUUGACCUAACUUAUUUCAUGUGCUUUCGACUCAAUCAUAAUCGGUGAGAACUGCCUUGAAUUGAAAUCCCCUGCUUAUACACUUGUGUUUCUUCUUAGUGGUCGGUUGCCAUGGCAGGGAUUCAGGGAUACAUAUAAAGUAUUUCAAGGAAUAUAAAGAAUACAUAUCAUCAUACAAGGGAAAGAUAGUAUAAAGACUUCGCUCACAUCUUCCUAGUGGUUCGAGCGUGAUCAUAAAGAGGCUUCCAGCCUGUGAGUUAAGCUAUAUAUGUUUUAUUUAAUUUUAAUUAGCCGAGUUUCUUUUAUAUACGCUGUUAAUGUAUAUAAUCUUUUUAAAGGUUAUGUAGUUUCCUUAUAUAUACAUUACAACAUUGUGGGCAAUGUAAUAACAUUGCUGAAAUCUAAGAUUAUAUGGUGUUUUUUGUAUAUGCAUUAUGCACUGUGGACUUGUCGAAGGUUUUUUUUUUGUGUGUUCAUAUUAAAGGUUUAAUGACAACGAGCAAGACCUUAAAUAUGUUUUUGAUUUUUAUUUGGUAUUAUUAAUUUUAGUUGUUUUCUAAUAUUUUCCUUAUUUACAAGUACCUAUUCAGAACUCACGGGUGGAUGCAACUCUUUCAAGAGAGUGCAAACUUUUGGAACCUCAAUAAAGAAACAAGUAUAUACAUAUACGUAUAGAUUAUCAUAAUUCACUACUUAGAAGUAAGAACUCUAACCAUGUCACUUCGUGUAAGUUUUUGACAGCUCACCAUGGCGGCCACCAACCCCCUGAUUACUAUGCAAGAGGCACUCACAUACAGAUUUGAUUGAGGUGAAGUGAGAUACUAUUAUUGUUUCUUUGCUUUAUGGACAUAAAGUUGUUUUUAUGAUUUAUGCAGUUGGAAGAAUUAAUUGUUUUAGAGUUCAUUUUAUAUGGAGAAAAGUAAGAAAAGAAGUUACUUCAAGUGAGCCAACAUGAAAUCUUACAAGAAUCAACUCGUGUGAUAGGGCAACAAAUGAAGAAGAGCUAUGGAGUGUUUGUGGCGAAUGUCUUUCAAGUGGAAGCGAGUGCGUCCCCUUAUUACAAUGAAAUCAAAUAGCUCUCAAAUAAAGUUCUUCUAUGGUGUGCAUAUAGGUGUGCGGCGUUCGAAUCUUUUUAAGCCCUUGCACAAAGGAUUCUUGCUGGUUGUAUGCACACUCCAGGUUUAGUAUAUAUGGUAGACAUCAUCUUCAGUUAAAGUAACUAGCUUAUUCUGUGAUAUGUUAAUGUGUUAAUAAGAGUUGGGGAGAUUAUAGCUUCAAGAUAAGGUGUGAAUAAUAUGUGUUAAACUUAGCAAUCGGCUUUUAUGCUUUGCGAUUUGAAUUCAAACUUCAUAAUUACUGGGAUGCUUAUGAGUAAAGUGAGUGAUGUUAUACAUUUUAUAUCCAGCAUUGUUUGUUGUUAAUAUCCUAUGAACUCCAUUGUUUUAAUAUGCUUCUAUGGUAUCCUUUCUAAAUGAAGAAAUUGUGGCUUUUUUGCCAUGUGCUUUGUUACUGCCAUCACAGAUACUUUAAAUAGAACUUACGAACAUCUCAAUAAUCCGCUAAAAAACAAUGUGACUGAUGGAUACAAUAUUGAGUUUUAGUGAUGGAUACAGUAGCUAAUUAUGCGUAUAUUGGUUUUUGCAGCCAUGUGAAUAUAUUAAAACUGUUUUUGUGCCAAAAAAAGGGUCAUAUUCAUGUAGUUAUUAAAUGGCCGGCUGCCCAAGGAAUAGUCCAUGUGCUCUUGGUUGUAAUGGCUGGAUUUUACAAAGGAUGGUCUCAACAGGAAGGGGGUGAAAAAGACUGGUGUACUACCAUAUUUGAGAAUCAGUGGACCCGGAUUUAGUUUGUAAUUGGCCUUUUAUCUUCUCUUCCACUGGGGUGGCAUAAUAGGCAGACCGGGCCAUGUCGGGUAACCGGUCAUAAUAGGUUUUUGAUCAAUAUGGGUCGACCGCCAAACGCUAUUGUUUCAUUUUGUGAAUCUUAUAAUUAUUGGUUGGUUAAAUAUAUGAUUACAAAGCCAUAUUAUUACAAUAAUAAUUUGAAUUUUUUAAA